ensembl:lncRNA
CAUGUACCUGGUGUCAGAUAUUUCAACCUUUUCAUUUAAACCUGGACAGAUGCCAUGUCUCUAUGAGGACUGGGGCCUGCAGAUGCAGAGAAUGGCUGUAAAAGCUGCUAAAUGUUUCAGAUGGCCAUUGAGAAGGAAGUGGAAGUCGUGCGUCUCACCUGCAAGGCUCCCAUUGUGCACUAUCAAAGGGAUAUCAGGGCACCACAGAAAAAUCAACCUGCCUGUAAAAUUCUUUAAGCCUGUCUAUACAUUAUUAAACUUUUUGUGCCUAUAAGAAGAAAAUUAUUAAAUGAAAAAUGUAUUUAUUUUGAGUUGUAAAAGGUUUCUUUGCUGAAUACCAAAGAGAAUGUUCAUAUUAUAGUUAAUAUUAUGGAUAUUGAUGUCCUCAUCUUAACCCCUCUUAUAUAUAAGAGAGAUCAUACAAUUGCUUGUUUUUGGUGUAGUGCUGCCCUGAAUACUCUAAAAAAAAAAGAGAGUGUGUGUGUGUGUAUCUUAAGGGGGACAUAUAUUCACUAAUAUUCAGAAUAUGGUAUUCUUUUAAACAAAAAUAAUUAAAGUUAGAACAUUAAAAUGUUUAAUUAUGUAUCAGUCCAACUAUUUAAGCUGAUUUAGAGGCAAUUAAAGCAAUGUAAUUUGAUGUAAAAGUGAUACUAAGAGCCAACCAAAGCAGCACUUUUUGUCGGCUUUGGUCGCCUGACCCCUUUUAGAAGGUUACUGUCCUGAAAGCAUAUGCCCUUUACAGCUAAAAAGAGAUUCUAUUACACCUUUAUCAAAAAAAAAAAAAAAAAUCAUCCAGAUUCAUCAUCCUUUUUUUUGGGGCUUCAUAAAUCAGCUUACAGUUCUUAGGAACACAGUACCUGGACCAUACCCUACAGGCCUGUGGUUUAAAUGAGGUUCUCCUUUAGAGCAAAUGAUAAAAGCAAAGCAGAGAUUAUCUGGAUAUCAAGAGAAAAUAGGGUCACGUGUUUCACAGUGUCCUUUUAUAGCUUUACUUUGUAAAGAGAACUGACAGCCCUUUGAAUUCAUCUUUACAGCAAAUGUUGCUACUGUAACUUUUGGUGUUGUUGUUUUGAUUGGUAAGACAUUGACAAUUGCUCUGUAUUGUAUUGCUCUGGAUCGGUAGAAGAAUAUUUGCUAUUUUGUUUCUGUUAACUUAAUUACUACAUACAAUAAAAUUAGGCAUGCCAAAUCCAAGGGUGUAUCUAGGAUUUGGAGCAUGAAGGCUUAGCCCUGUGUCACGGCAGCAUUUCAAAGAGUUUACCAAGUACAUUUUAGGAAUAUUAAAGAACAGUGAGCAGUAGUGUUCAUAUCUGAGUUCCAUUUUAAAGUAUUAUUUACAGUAUUUUUACUUUUUACAAACACAUAAAAAAAAAAAAAAAAGUUUCUGUAGAUUAUGAAUUUAGAAUGUUAUUCACACUAAGAACAAAAUGGUUCUUUUAAAAGCUGUUCACUGAAAGGUUAUUUUAGGAACCCAAAAUGGUUCUUCUAUGGCAUCACUACAAAACUCCCCUUUUGGAACCUUUAUUUUUAAAAGUGUUAAAUAUUAGGUGGCCUUGUGGGUGAGAAAAUAUUGAAUAUAAUAUGUGAAUUUGAGGAAAAAUUUUAAAAACACAAUGGUUAUUUUAAAAUUACCAACAUGUAUUAGAAGAACCAAAGUAAUGUCAAGGUCUUGACUGACCCCAGAACUGUUUGUCAAAAUUAUAGGUCUCAUUAUAGGUCAACUUAUUCCAUCCCAAAUCUGGCUCAGUUGAAUUGUCAAACCCAGGCUGCCUGAAAUGUGAAGAUAGUUUGCUUCAUUUUGUUGCGCUGUUCAUUUCUCUAGCGUGUUUUGAAGGAUGAAAAUGGCAGCAUUACUGUCCACAGUCUACUGUCAAUAAAAUUACACAUUUCUCUGAUCGUGCCACUGCGUUUGCAACUCUGAUCUCAUUAAAGCAGGGGAGAGAUGUCACUGUGGCAGUAGCAUGGCGAGAGAAAAAGAAUAAAGAAAUCUGUUUCAGGACAAGAGAAAAACAUAGCAUAUUAGCAUGCUAAAUGUUACUAAAUGUCAAAUUGUAUGAGAUAUGUUGGCGAAAAGCACAUAUACAGAUGAGACAGUUUGGUUUGUUUGUUUGUUUGUUUGUUUGUUUUUUGGAAUAAAGCAAAUUGUUCAAUACUUCACCAUAAUGGUAGCCCACAAAACUCUAUAUAACAGAAAAUCUUCUAACACCGUGUCUACACCGGACGCAACAGUUGUCAUGCCGCACCGCACCGCAACAGCUAAAGUCUGUCUACACUGGACACGACAAAGCGACCGCUGAAAAUUAUUUGAAAUUUGUGUCAAUAUGUCAUAAAUAGAAUGCAGCAGCAGUUCUAGCAGACAGCAUCACUGAUUAUAAUGAGUUCUAUAGUUCUAUAGUAUUUUGUCGUGACACACUGUGCUGCGCCGCUCGCGGGCGGUGUAGACACAGUGUAUAUCUCACAAUAACAGAAUACGAAACUUGAAAUAACAAGUAUCUGUAUUUUCUCAUCUUGCUCCAAAAGACAAGAAAAUAACACUUAAUUUUUUAGAAUUUAGUCUCCCGCAUGCUAGGCACUGGAAGUCCUCCCCUCUUGAGGAUGCUGUUUUUGUCAAGUUCUGGAGAAAACAUUAAAUAUUAAAAACUGUAAAAAUGUGUCUGUUUCAAGAAUCAGUUUUAGUGUGUUAGCAAUUGGGAAAGCAUGUCAUUGUUCAAGUGUUCAAUAUAUGCAACUUAAACGGAAAUGACAAGCUAGUUUAAAGUCAAAAUAGUUUCACCAGAAUACUAAUCUAUGAAGACUCCAGAAUAUGUGUCUGCUGUGUAAACUGCACUGUCACAUGCACCUGGAAGCUGUUUCAGUUCUGUUCGGGCUAAUCUACCAAGUUAGCAUUGAGGCAGAAAGGCACAUCAUUGCAGUGAAAAUUGGCCAUAUUACAAAAUUAAUCCCCUUUUCAUUCUUAGCAGCACUGUCAAAAUGUGCAACAUAAAGGGCCUGCCCGCACACUACCCAGAGGGCCACUCCAACAUUCCGCAGGGGUGGCACGGCGGGAUAUAACGUGGCAGUGGGAGGGGCCUGUCAGGACAAUUCUGGGUACAUUAAGAUGUAAAAAGCUUUUAAAGACAUUUUACUUCCCACUGCUGCUCAGUCAGUGGUCCCAUCGCUUAUGAGACUAGACGUUUUUAGGCAGCUAUCAAGUUUUGGUUUUUAUCUUUUGUACCCAAGAGAGUCACAGCCCUAAUCUUGAAUGCCUGUGAGAAAUCAAAAGCUUCAGUUUACUCUCAGUUCAGAUACAGAGCCUGAGAAAAAAAUAUAUUGUCUUUUCUGUAGGAACAAUAAUAGAGAUUGUGACACAAGGAACAUAACUAUUACGACAAUAAGACAGAAGGCAAACACUAAUCAGUUAGUCUUCACAACUGUCAUCUGCAAUUCACAUAUUUCAGAUGUUUUACUAAGACAGAUGCCUUUUAGAUCUCCCUAGGUGUAGUGGGUUUUUUUUUUUCAUU